UUAGGACUGCUUUAGUUGGUGGUUUCCAAUAAGCUCUAGAGCCACUUCCUUUCACCAAGUACAUGAGUGUUGCUUCAGCUAUCAUUCCUUUAAUUCAUGUCCUUUCUCUCUCUAGAAAAACUCAUAUAUUCAUUAUCCUAGGAAUAUCAGGUUUGCAAAGCUGGACCAAACUAAAGACUCUUCGAGGUGCACUUUGGCUUCUUAAAAGAGCUACCAAGAUUUUGGCUGAGGCACGUGACUUAAAACUCAGCAGGUCUAAAGCAUUGCUGAGCACAUGGAAGACACUCAAUAAAUACUUGUUUAAUGGAAUUGAAUUUGUAAGCACCAGAGACUCAUGCUUCCUUUUCACAUAGCUUGACACUUGGCUGCCCAGGAUCCUUGCAUGCAAGGUGGUAAGGUUACUGUGGGAAAAUUCUGUUGGCUUACUAUCCCAUUUGCU
rnacentral:lncRNA from 1 species